UACGUAGGGUGCAAGCGUUAAUCGGAAUUACUGGGCGUAAAGCGUGCGCAGGCGGUUCUAUAAGACAGAUGUGAAAUCCCCGGGCUCAACCUGGGAACUGCAUUUGUGACUGUAGAGCUGGAGUACGGUAGAGGGGGAUGGAAUUCCGCGUGUAGCAGUGAAAUGCGUAGAUAUGCGGAGGAGCACCGAUGGCGAAGGCAAUCCCCUGGACCUGUACUGACGCUCAUGCACGAAAGCGUGGGGAGCAAACAGG
rnacentral:rRNA from 1 species